rnacentral:rRNA from 1 species
CUUGGUCAUUUAGAGGAAGUAAAAGUCGUAACAAGGUUUCCGUAGGUGAACCUGCGGAAGGAUCAUUACCUAGAGUUGUAGGCUUUGCCUGCUAUCUCUUACCCAUGUCUUUUGAGUACCUUACGUUUCCUCGGUGGGUUCGCCCACCGAUUGGACAAACUUAAACCCUUUGCAGUUGAAAUCAGCGUCUGAAAAAACUUAAUAGUUACAACUUUCAACAACGGAUCUCUUGGUUCUGGCAUCGAUGAAGAACGCAGCGAAAUGCGAUAAGUAGUGUGAAUUGCAGAAUUCAGUGAAUCAUCGAAUCUUUGAACGCACAUUGCGCCCCUUGGUAUUCCAUGGGGCAUGCCUGUUCGAGCGUCAUUUGUACCUUCAAGCUUUGCUUGGUGUUGGGUGUUUGUCUCGCCUCCGCGCGUAGACUCGCCUCAAAACAAUUGGCAGCCGGCGUAUUGUUUUCGGAGCGCAGUACAUCUCGCGCUUUGCACUCAUAACGACGACGUCCAAAAGUACAUUUUUACACUCUUGACCUCGGAUCAGGUAGGGAUACCCGCUGAACUUAAGCAUAUCAAUAAGCGGAGGA